CUUCCAGAGCACUGGGGAGGUGAAAUCGCAGGGGACUUCUAGGUGACCACGCGUCAAACAUGCAGUAUUGCAGUAUAGCCAUGAGCAGGCAGUCGAGCAUGAGCUGGCCAAGGGAUGGCGGUAAGAUCUUGAAUAAAGACUCUCCCAGUGGCCAAAUCGAUCUCCUCCUCCUCAGUUCCUUCCCUUCGUCCGAGCUGCCUUCUCCGGCCAAAUUCAUCGCCAUCACUCCAUCCCAAUCCAAUUCCUCCGAACCAUGCCAUCACCAAGUCACAACAACCCAGUUGAGCCAACUCCAGCUCGAGCCAACCCUCAUCGCCGCCGGUCGUCGUGUCCUUCAGUUUCAGCCGCCGUUGUACAGAGAAGCUCGGGCCACCGAGGAAAGUCGUCCAAGCUGAGCUCGUCAAGCCGACGUAGAAGGCUUCGGAAAAGGAGAAAGGAAGUCGAUCAUGAUCAAGCUCGUACAAGAACUUCAAGUUGAAACUUCAUCUUCCGAAUCGGAGCAAGGCAAGCACCGGAGCAUCUACGCCUACUAAUUUUAAUUAACUUAUGUUAUUACUUAUGUAAUGCAUUUGAAUUGCUUAAGUCUAGGAGUUGCUUGAAACCCAAUUGAUGCAUGUUCAACAUCCUUGAUUUAAUGA